rnacentral:rRNA from 1 species
GACGAACGCUGGCGGCGUGCCUAAUACAUGCAAGUAGAACGCUGAAGGAGGAGCUUGCUUCUCUGGAUGAGUUGCGAACGGGUGAGUAACGCGUAGGUAACCUGCCUGGUAGCGGGGGAUAACUAUUGGAAACGAUAGCUAAUACCGCAUAAGAGUAGAUGUUGCAUGACAUUUGCUUAAAAGGUGCAAUUGCAUCACUACCAGAUGGACCUGCGUUGUAUUAGCUAGUUGGUGAGGUAACGGCUCACCAAGGCAACGAUACAUAGCCGACCUGAGAGGGGGAUCGGCCACACUGGGACUGGGACACGGCCCAAACUCCUACGGGGGGCAACAGUAGGGGAACUUCGGCCAUGGGCGGAAGUCUGAACGGGCAACGCCGCGUGAGUGAAGGAGGUUUUCGGGUCGUAAAACUCUGUUGUAAGGGAAGAACGAGUGUGGGAGUGGAAAGUUCACACUGUGACGGUAUCUUACCAGAAAGGGACGGCUAACUACGUG